UUUUUCUUCCGCUCUAUAUUGAAGCUUAUAUAGAAAUUUAUUGCUUCGAGUGAUUGAUGAUCUGUUUUGAAGGAAAUAUGUGUUUUAAUGGUGAACUAUGAAAUGUCUCCAUACUUUCAUUUCAAUUGUUCUUGUAAAGAUCUUAAAUGAAGCUCAUCAUAUGGUUAUUUUUUUGCGACUCUGAAGAGUUUUGACUAAUAGUGGAAGAUGAGAAUUAUAAAUUUGCAUGUGGAAAUUUACUACAGAGCAAAAUUUGAUUGAACGAUUUUUUUAUUUUUUUUUUAAUUUUCCUUUUCAGGCAGGGAGCAAAGCAAGUUCAGAAAAUAACAUUCAUGUUCGUCUUCUCUAUUAUCUCCAUUUGGACCUUCGAUUUUUUCUGCAAAUUUUUAUGUCACAAAAUGUAUUUUGGUAGGUACCUUUCUGGGAUUAAUAGUAACAAAGAAUAGGAUUAGAGUUUGUUCAGCUUGCAAUUUUAUGGGGACUUUAUGGUUUUGGUUGGAGAACUUCUUUGGUCCUUACUAGGGUUAUUGUUGCUUUGACUGCUUAUGAUGAGCUCAUGAAGGCAUUCUCAGAACGCAACAAGGUACUCGUAUCAUCUCUGUUGGUUGUUCCAUCAAGUUCUAAAAUACCUUAGUUUAAGACUGCUGCAUCAUAAAGGAGAAGCUACAGACAAAUUGGUAAGCCAAUCAGUGUCUCAAAAACUCAGCACAUCUCAAGCUUUUGUAGAGAAACUAUUGGAAAAGAGUCUUGCCAAACUCCAAGAAGAGCAAUUGAAGCGAGACAAUUUUGUGAGAUCGAAUUGGAUUGGUAAGGAAAUCGUGGACUUGUGUCUCGACUGAGUCAGGAAAUUAGCGGACAACUGAACUGGUUUACAAGGCUUCUUGGCAUUGGGGAUAAUAUCAUUACAAAACCAAUGUGUGUUUGUGGAGCAAGAGGGAUACUUGCAGAUCACCUUCUGCCGAACAUGACACUCCGAGAUACAAUUAACCGCAUCUUAGAGUCUGGUAGCAGCAGUUCAGAUAAAUCAGGAAGUGCUCUUCGACCUCAAGGAUGUGGAGUCUGCACGAUGUCCUCAACCUAGGAUUUCAUCACUCACUCCAUCUGCUGCAUCAAAAGGGGACCAAAUGGCACCUUCAGCUGUCGCUGCCACUACCACAGAAAUGCUUAUGCAGUGACAGGUUGUGCGUCAAAGGGUUUGGUGGGUCCUGUCAUUGGCCACUGAUGAACAUUGCUGGAUCCAAUGAUUCAUACCUUUUCUGCGUCACCCUUCCAGGAGUCUAAAGAGAAAACUGCAAGUAGCAUAUUGCCUAUGACAGUAGACUAAAGCUAAUUGCUGGAUCAGCUGAAGGAUACUCUGGACAUGUUGAUGGGAAACAUAGGGAAGCGAGGAUGAACCAUCCUAAAGGUGCUGCUGUCGAUGACAGGGGAAACAUAUAUGUUGCUGACACUGAAUAUGACUAUCAGAGAAACUCUUGCCUAUGCUGCCAGAUUGCAGGGUGUCGGAUAUCGUUAUGAAAUGUUGGCUGAGUUAUCUAGGAGGGAAAAGGAGGCUUCUUCUACUCAAGGGUUUGAAGAACGUUGGUUGGGAUAGAUGAGUCAACUGCUGGUGAGAGACAACCACGAGUUUCAACAGCUACAAAUUCAUUCUCAGAAGCAGCAGCAUCAGUUUCAACACCACCAACUUCAUCAGCUCCAGUAGUAUCAGUUACAGCAGCAGGAAUCAACCCAGCUGCCUCAACACUCUGAUUAUAAGAUGAGACCAUCGAUCCCGUUACCAAAAGAAAAUGCAUCAGAUUCCAAAUCUGGAGCAUCAAAGGAUUAAAGAAACAGAUAGAAGAGGAUGAAAAAUUUUCAGAGCAGCAGGCUGAGGCUCUGAAGACCCAUCAUCAGAAGAUGGAGACGAUUAAUUCUGUUUUAGCUGAUGGCUCUUAAAAGCAUCUUGCGAAGCGUUAUGGGGAAUAUCUCACUUUUGAGUGAUGAUACUGGACUUUCAUAUCGAAGCUUUUGUAUAUAGAGGUAGGAUAAGUUUGGGAAACAUUAAUGUUGACCUUGUUUUAGGUUGCUUGCAAUCGCUUGUCUGAGUUUAAGCUGCAAUUGCUUAUCAGCUGUACAUUCAUGUGGAUAUGCUCUUCUGCAUUUUAUUCUCUUUUUAGUUUCAAACAUGAUGUCCUUUCCAUCAUUUGUUGUAUGUAGGUAUGAUAUUAAACCCAAUUUAAUGGUGCUACCUUUUCGUCCAAAGUUUUGUAAUCAAGCUAUACUUUGUUGCUGAAUUUGUGCUUCAGAGAUGUGAGUUAUCUGUUUUCUCGUUUUUUCCAGAUUUAUCACAGGUAACUUGACAUCAAACAUACUGAAUGUGAGCUCAUUAGUGAAAUAAAGGUUCAAAUUGUAUCGGUGUGCAAGUACCUAUCGCUUUAUCUGUUUCAAGUCUUUUCAACCAUGAGUAACUGAAAAAUGAUUUUGAUGGUUAUAGACAAACGAAGGGGUGUUGGUUUAUCAUCUCAGACAUGUUACUUGCUGUGUCCCAAUAGUGAUUCCAAGCUUUUAAAUGCACUCCAUGAUUUAAGCUGUUCUCACUCCAUUCAUAAGUGAGUUUUGAAAUUUCAGGCUUUGGUGUUGACACACAGAUUUUUUAGCUUUUCACUCGUGGUAUUUUUCAUCCUCUGGCAUACGUCAACGACUGGAGAUACCAAUAUCAAUACCAAUAUGAAGGUUAGCAAUUUACUUAUCUAUGAACAAUUCUUCUGGAGUGCAGUCUUCAUGAUAUUUGGGAUCCUAUGACACAAGCUUUACAGAUUGGUUCUUUUUGGUUUCCCUUUGGAUGCAUAGGUUUCAAUUAAUGUGCCUUCAGGACAUGAUCAAAACUCUGAUGUUGGUUAUGCCAAUGUCAUGCACUCAGGUUGGGAUACUCAUUCUUGGUAUUACAUCUCAGUGAGAAUUGGCCUAUUCCUUUGGGUAUGAUAAUGUUACAUCUUAGAGGGAAAUUUUAUCUCAAUCUGUGAUAUUAUACGAGUCUAAUAUAUCUGCAUUUUUGGGUAUUGAAAAUUGCUUAUUGAAUUUGAUUACUAUCUCUUCAACGUGGGCAAGAGUGAUUGAUGUUAUGGAUAGUGAGGUUAGUUACUAUCCCCUUGAUAAGUUUUAAAUUUAGACUUCUGUGAGAUUGUAACUUGGACUUAUAUCCAGUCAGGUUCAAUAUUGUUUGGGUUUAUUGGUGCGGGUGCUACACUUGGUCAACUGUUUGGGUCAUUGUUUGCAACUGGAUAGGCUUGGAUGGGAUCUUGUAUGUAGUAGUCUGUUAUUUCCGUAGUACUUGCUGUGGAUUGUAUUGCUCACAUAGCCGUGAUCUCUUUUGCUUUCAAUGGUAUUCAUAGUAUCUAAGUCCUUAUAUUGUACUUCUUUCAGUUUUACUCCUUGUAUCUGCUUUCCUGAUGGAACUAGCUGCACAGUUUUCUAAAGGAAUCAGUCAAGAUGCACCUCAUCUUUCUGAUGAAGGCACGCCAAUGAUAGGAUACUAGCGGAUCAAGGGAAGAUGAUCUAUGAUUUGGAACUAAAGAAAAAACAGCCUGAUUGGUAUAGCAAGGAAUCAAGCAAACCACAACAUUGAUAGAUAAACAUAGCUGAUGAGUAAACUUGAGGAGAAGAAGUAACAGGAAAAUGGCCUGGUCAUAAUUUUCCAUACAUAAAUUUCAGAAGCAUUUUCACGCUUGGAGAUCAGCACUCCGCAAGCAAAAUCGAGGCUUACCAAAACAUCCAACAUAUUCUUGGAUUGCUACCGACUGAUAUUGCUAGCAAGUCUGGUGUAGCAAACUGGGGGCAUCUUGAUGAAUUCGUGGCUCAAAAAUUUAGUAGUGAAGGUGAUUCGUAGACUUGUUAUUUUAGUCUUUGUUCUCUUCCUCUGGUCGAAGGCGUUAAUGUAGAUGCAAAAGAUACUGUUCAGCCUAUGUUAUCAUCUACUGCAUCCGGAUCUAGCAACGCUAGGUUGUGAUGAGUGAGAAUACAAACUGAUUCUACUUGAUUGGUAUUUGCACCUUAUUCGUCUUUCCUCUCCAUGUCACAACAUCUCUAUGUUUCAGGGACCCUUUUUCCAUACUCUCUGUACCAUGUGCUGAUGUGAUUUUAGUUUUAGUGCGCAGGUGAUUGUCUGCAAAGUAUAUAUGACUACAAUUCUUUGGACUUUGAAUUUUGAAGGGAGAUUUCACAGCUAGGAAUAUUUUUUUUUUUUUUUUGUAAAUUAGAUACGACAAAUGUAAUGAAUAACAUCCUUGAAACUUUGUUCCCAAAACCAAUUCAUCCAAAGUCGAUUAGUAGAUACAGGAACAAAGCAUAUUGUAACAGUUUUCAUUUCUUUUUCUUUUUUGUUUCCUUUUCCAUCAUUCUUCUUCUCUUUGUUUUGCUUUUCAUUUUGGUUACCUGUUUGGGAACCAUAUGUUCAUAUGAGCUGUUUGUAUGAGUAUCUGCAUAUAUGUUUCACAAUCCUAAAUAGAAAGGAAAUUGUUUUCUUA